rnacentral:SRP_RNA from 1 species
UCGUGCUAGGCGGGGAACUAGCGGUGCCCUGUAUCCGCAAUCCGCUACAGCGGAGCUGAACUCCCGGUCGAGGUCCGCACCGUUCGCCCACCACCACCGCGUCCGACGUUGAGAGUCGGGUCCCGCGCAGCGUUGGUCCGUGAAUCCCGUCAGGUCCGGAAGGAAGCAGCGGUAAGCGAUCCCCUUCGGGUGCCGCGGGACAACCUGGCUGGAGCCGGGCGCGUGGGUGAGUGCGAGCAGGUGCGGUUCGACACCGGGUGCACGA